GACGGAGGAUGCAAGUGUUAUCCGGAAUCACUGGGCGUAAAGCGUCUGUAGGUGGUCAAAUAAGUCAACUGUUAAAUCUUGAGGCUCAACCUCAAAAUCGCAGUCGAAACUAUUCGACUAGAGUAUAGUAGGGGUAAAGGGAAUUUCCAGUGGAGCGGUGGAAAUGACGUAGAGAUUGGAAAGAACACCGAUGGCGAAGGCACUUUACUGGGCUAUUACUAACACUGAGAGACGAAAGCUAAGGGUAGCAAAUGGG
rnacentral:rRNA from 1 species